UACAGAGGGUGCAAACGUUGCUCGGAAUCAUUGGGCGUAAAGCGCACGUAGGCGGUUCGACAAGUCGGGUGUGAAAGCCCCGGGCUCAACCCGGGAAGUGCAUUCGAAACUGUCGGACUUGAGUACCGGAGGGGGUGGCGGAAUUCCCGGUGUAGAGGUGAAAUUCGUAGAUAUCGGGAGGAACACCAGUGGCGAAGGCGGCCACCUGGACGGAUACUGACGCUGAGGUGCGAAAGCGUGGGGAGCAAACAGG
rnacentral:rRNA from 1 species